rnacentral:rRNA from 1 species
UACAGAGGAGCCAAGCGUUGUCCGGAUUGACUGGGCGUAAAGCGCACGCAGGCGGAUGCGCGCGUGGGGUGUGAAAUCUGGCCGCUUAACGGCCAGGCGCCAUCCCAUACGGCGCGUCUGGAGUGAUGCAGAGGUCGAUGGAAUUGCCGGUGUAGUGGUGAAAUGCGUAGAGAUCGGCAGGAACACCAAGGGCGAAAGCAGCAGACUGGCCCGUGGCUGACGCUCAGGGACGAAAGCGUGGGGAGCGAACUGG